rnacentral:sRNA from 1 species
AUUUAACAUCCGAAAGCGGUUAACCAGGUAGGUGGAAUUUAAAAGAAAACGGGUUUAAUGAACACUGGGAAAUAAAUUGAUUGAUAUAAAAGAAGAAGAGGAGGGGAAAUCACUUCUUAUAAAAUACAACUUCCCCAAAGCAUCUGAAAAUGGGAAUGGAACUCUAAUUGGCGAAUACGUACAAACAUGGAUACGAUAAAGGGAAAACACCAAACGGACGCAAAGGAGAUGAACAGACAGUAAACAUGCAGAUGCUGAAAAAUGGUGAUAGAAAAAACCCAUACUUUAACUUGUUAGUCAGAAUUCAUUAUAUAUCAUUUUGGAAAUAUAUUAAUUAAAAUGGACAAUUUUAUCAAUUAAAUAAUGAAGAAGUAAAGAUUUGGAGAGAAAUGUUGCUUGCAAUAAAAUUUCCUAUUAUU